UAGUUAUUCACAUCGAAAUGGAAGAAGUAGUAAAUCUGAAAUUGGAUAAAAAAAUUAUUUGUAAUGGUUUUGCUUACACAGUUAAUCAUAAUCUAUCAACAAGCAUCCGCUGGAAAUGCUCUCAAACAUUAUCUAAAAAGUGUCAGGGUAUUUUAAUCACUUCCAAAGGUAUCACUAACCCUCGGUUAAUCAAGAAUCAUUCAUAUGCUGGACGCUGGUGAUCAUAAUAUUUAGCGACAGUUGAGAAAGCUAAAGAAGACAUGAAUAAUCGAAUGAAAAUAACAACAAAUAAACCAUGCCAAGUAUUUUCAGCUGUAGUAAAUCAACGUUUUAAAAUUGAUGAUGCAAAAUAAUUCUGACACCCACCCAUGGUGGUUUUACAUAACAAGUCGAG